rnacentral:rRNA from 1 species
ACGCUCGACACCUACGGGAGGUAGCAGUGGGGAAUAUUGCACAAUGGGGGAAACCCUGAUGCAGCGACGCCGCGUGAAGGAAGAAGUAUCUCGGUAUGUAAACUUCUAUCAGCAGGGAAGAAAAUGACGGUACCUGACUAAGAAGCCCCGGCUAACUACGUGCCAGUAGCCGCGGUAAUCUGAGCGGGCUGGCAAGGC